rnacentral:lncRNA from 1 species
ACUUCUGCCUCCCCAUUCUCCAGCAGAAUGAACAUGAUGGCCGAGGGAGGCUUCACCUGUACCAGUGUUUGGAAUGUCCCGUUCUGUGUCGUCCUGGAAGUUUUUACACCAUAAUUCAGUUCACAGUGUGUGAGAGGCCCCAGAGAGAAGCAGCUUCUUGGGCAUGCACAUUAAGAGACAAAAAUGGCGAAGUAUGAUCUUCCUGGAUCACUCCACCGG